CCAGCGGGGAGAUGGAUGGGCACUGGAUAAAGAUGUACUGUCCGGGCGCCAUCUUGAAGUCACGCUUCUUCAUGUGAAGUUCCAGGACUGCAGAUGGGUGACUCACCACCUACAGCAGAGCAAGAUAGCCGAUGGGAUUCUCAUUCAGCAUGAAGUAAAAACAAAAGAGCCACAAGUUUGAAGAGCAAGGCAGAGAAGUCCCUCCAAGGUACACACCACUGAGCAGGAUAGAACAGCAUGACACUGCACCAUUGCCAUCUUGAACCUUAUAGCAUCCCUUGAGACUCUGAACCUGUGGUGGCAUUCCCAGCAUGUGCUCAGCUCCCGUGGUUCAGCUAACAUUGUGGAAGAGUGGGCAAAAACCUAAGAGCCAGAGGAUUGAGUGCUGCAAAAUGCUGUCUCCAGGAUACAACAUGGCUCCUGCACAAUGGACUCAUUGCCCCUAUGAUUACCUGCACAAGAUCAAGGC